rnacentral:rRNA from 1 species
CGACCGCUGGCGGCGUGCUUACCACAUGCAAGUCGAACGAAAAGGCCCUGCUUUUGUGGGGUGCUCGAGUGGCGAACGGGUGAGUAACACGUGAGUAACCUGCCCUUGACUUUGGGAUAACUUCAGGAAACUGGGGCUAAUACCGGAUAGGAGCUCCUGCUGCAUGGUGGGGGUUGGAAAGUUUCGGCGGUUGGGGAUGGACUCGCGGCUUAUCAGCUUGUUGGUGGGGUAGUGGCUUACCAAGGCUUUGACGGGUAGCCGGCCUGAGAGGGUGACCGGCCACAUUGGGACUGAGAUACGGCCCAGACUCCUACGGGAGGCAGCAGUGGGGAAUAUUGCACAAUGGGCGGAAGCCUGAUGCAGCAACGCCGCGUGCGGGAUGACGGCCUUCGGGUUGUAAACCGCUUUCGCCUGUGACGAAGCGUGAGUGACGGUAAUGGGUAAAGAAGCACCGGCUAACUACGUG